rnacentral:rRNA from 1 species
CCUACGGGAGGCAGCAGUGGGGAAUAUUGGGCAAUGGGCGCAAGUCUGACCCAGCAACGCCGCGUGAAGGAUGAAGGCCUUCGGGUUGUAAACUUCUUUUCUCAGGGACGAAGCAAGUGACGGUACCUGAGUAAUAAGCCACGGCUAACUACGUGCCAGCAGCCGCGGUAAUCCGUAGGUGGCAAGCGUUAUCCGGAUUUACUGGGUGUAAGGGGUGUGUAGGCGGGACUGCAAGUCAGCUGUGAAAUCCAUGGGCUCAACCUGUGGCCUGCAUUUGAAACUGUAGUUCUUGAGUACUGGAGAGGCAGACGGAAUUCGUAGUGUAGCGGUGAAAUGCGUAGAUAUUAGGAGGAACACCAGUGGCGAAGGCGGUUUGCUGGACAGCAACUGACGCUGAGGCGCGAAAGCGUGGGGAGCAAACAGGAUUAGAUACCCCAGUAGUC